rnacentral:tRNA from 4 species
GCCUCCGUAGCUCAGUUGAUAGAGCAACUGACUUGUAAUCAGUAGGUCGUUGGUUUGAAUCCGACCGGGGGCU